AUUACAUGUGAUCUUGGAAAAAGAAAAACUUGAUUUUCUUUUUGUUAUUCUUCAACGUGUGGCAUGUGAAUAUUCAACAGCAAUAGGGUUGGAAUAAAGCAUAAAUAUACUUUAAACAGCAGCCAAGUUGAUCUCAUUAGACAGUUGCCAUUUAAAUGGCAGAGUUUGUUUAUUUAUAUACAUUAUUCCAUCAAGUUCAUAUUAGACAAUGACAGUGGCCAUAUGUGAUCGCC